CUCAGGAUGAACGCUGGCGGCGUGCCUAAUACAUGCAAGUUGAACGUGAUCCUAUUUUCGAAUAGGUGAAAGUGGCGUCCGGGUGAGUAACACGUAGCUGAUCUACCCUUGGCUGGGGGAUAACCCCGCGAAAGCGGGGCUAAUACCGCGUAAGCUCACAGGUUUUAGAACCCUGUGAGGAAAGCUCUGGCGGCGAAGGAGGAGGCUGCGUUCCAUCAGCUCGUUGGUGAGGUAACGGCUCACCAAGGCAACGACGGAUCGGGGACCUGAGAGGGUGACCCCCCACACUGGUACUGACACACGGACCAGACUCCUACGGGAGGCAGCAGUAAGGAAUAUUGCGCAAUGGGCGAAAGCCUGACGCAGCAACGCCGCGUGCGGGAAGAAGGUCUUCGGAUCGUAAACCGCUUUUGUGAGGGACGAGCAAGGACGGUACCUCACGAAUAAGUCUCGGCUAACUACGUGCCAGCAGCCGCGGUAAAACGUAGGAGGCGAGCGUUAUCCGGAUUUACUGGGCGUAAAGCGCGUGCAGGUGGUUCUGUAAGUGGUGCGUGAAAGCUCUUGGCUUAACCAGGAGAGGACGUGUCAGACUGCAGAGCUGGAGGCAGACAGAGGCAAGUAGAAUUCCCGGUGUAGUGGUGAAAUGCGUAGAUAUCGGGAGGAAUACCAGUGGCGAAGGCGGCUUGCUGGGUCUGAUCUGACACUCAGACGCGACAGCAUGGGUAGCGAACGGGAUUAGAAACCCCGGUAGUCCAUGCCGUAAACGAUGUUCACUAGGCGUGGGGUAGGUGACUGCUCCGUGCCGAAGCCAACGCGAUAAGUGAACCGCCUGGGGAGAUGCCGGCGUUCCAAUUUUGAGUUUCCUUAACUGCCCCCGGGCGACAAGCGGUG
rnacentral:rRNA from 1 species